rnacentral:rRNA from 1 species
UACAGAGGGUGCAAGCGUUAUCCGGAUUUACUGGGCGUAAAGCGUUUCGUAGGCGGUUUUGUAAGUUAUACUUCGAAGACCACGGCUCAACCGGGGAAAGGGGUGUAAUACUGCAAGACUUUAGAGGAUCCAAGGGGCAAUCGGAACUGUUGGUGUAGGAGUGAAAUCCGUUGAUAUCAACAGGAACGUCAAGGGCGUAGGCAGAUUGCUGGGGGAUAUCUGACGCUGAGGAACGACAGCCAGGGUAGCGAAAGGGAUUAGAGACCCCUGUAGUCCUGUGCCGUAAACUUUGCCUGCUAGCGGUGGGUUGUUAAAGAUCCGCUGCGUAAGCUAACGCGUUAAGCGGGCCGCCUGGGGAGUACGAACGCAAGUUUAAAACUCAAAGGAAUUGACGGGAAGGCGCACAACCAGUGGAGCAUGUGGUUUAAUUCGAAACGAACCGAAGAACCUUACCCAGUCUUGACAUGCUAUCGUUUAUUUUUCCAGAAAUGGAGAGAAAUCCUUUAGAAAUAUUGGAUGAUAGCACAGGUGUUGCAUGGCCGUCGUCAGCUCGUGUCGUGAGGUGUUCCCUUCAGUGGGGUAACGAGCGCAACCCCUUUUCUGUGUUAAAUAUUCACAGAAUACAUCCUGAACUUGUUUCAGGAGGAAGUGGGGACGACGUCAGGUCAGCAUGGCCCUUAUGACUGGGGCUACACACAUACUACAAUGGAGCCGACAAUGGGUUGCCAACGCGUAAGCGGGAGCUAAUCCCAUCAAACGGCUUCUCAGUGGGGAUUGAGGGCUGCAACUCGCCCUCAUGAACAUGGAAUUGGUAGUAAUCGCGGGUCAGCUAUACCGCGGUGAAUACGUUCUCGCCUUU